rnacentral:rRNA from 1 species
GGACCCGCACAAGCAGUGGAGUAUGUGGUUUAAUUCGACGCAACGCGAAGAACCUUACCAGGGUUUGACAUCCAACUAACGAAGCAGAGAUGCAUUAGGUGCCCUUCGGGGAAAGUUGAGACAGGUGGUGCAUGGUUGUCGUCAGCUCGUGUCGUGAGAUGUUGGGUUAAGUCCCGCAACGAGCGCAACCCUUAUUGUUAGUUGCUACAUUUAGUUGAGCACUCUAGCGAGACUGCCGUUGACAAAACGGAGGAAGGUGGGGACGACGUCAAAUCAUCAUGCCCUUUAUAUCCUGGGCUACACACGUAAUACAAUGGCGCAAUAACAGAGGGAGGCAAAGCCGCGAGGUGGAGCAAAUCCCCAAAAGGCGUCUCAGUUCGGAUCGCAGGCUGCAACUCGCCUGCGUGAAGUCGGAAUUGCUAGUAAUCGCGGAUCAGCAUGCCG